GACGAACGCUGGCGGCGUGCUUAACACAUGCAAGUCGAACGAAGAGCGAUGGAAGCUUGCUUCUAUCAAUCUUAGUGGCGAACGGGUGAGUAACGCGUAAUCAACCUGCCCUUCAGAGGGGGACAACAGUUGGAAACGACUGCUAAUACCGCAUACGAUCCAAUCUCGGCAUCGGGACUGGAUGAAAGGUGGCCUCUAUUUAUAAGCUAUCACUGAAGGAGGGGAUUGCGGCUGAUUAGCUAGCUGGGGGGGAAACGGACCACGCAGGCGAUGAUCAGUAGGCGGUCGGAGGGGAUGGACGGCCACAUUGGGACUGAGACACGGCCCAGACUCCUUCGGGGGGGAGCAGGGGGGAAUCUUCCGCAAUGGACGAAAGUCUGACGGGGCAACGCCGCGUGAGUGAUGACGGCCUUCGGGUUGGAAAGCUCUGUUAAUCGGGACGAAUGGUUCUUGUGCGAAUAGUGCGAGGAUUUGACGGUACCGGAAUAGAAAGCCACGGCUAACUACGUG
rnacentral:rRNA from 1 species